ACCUGAAAUCAAGCAAGAUCACCCGCUGAACUUAAGCAUAUCAGUAAGCGGAGGAAAAGAAACUAACAAGGAUUGCCUUAGUAGUGGCGAAUGAACCGGCAAUAGCUCAAAGUGUAAAUCUGAGGCAUCAAGUCUUAGAAUUGUAAUCUAUAGGCCUUUUAGGGAAGCCACGGUUCUAGCAUAAGUUCCCUGAAAAGGGAUGCCAAAGAGGGUAAAAGCCCCGUAUUUGGUUAGGACUGGGUGUACCGAAGGGUUCCAAGAGUCGGGUUGUUUGGGAUUGCAGCCUAAAAUGGGAGAUAAACUUCUUCUAAAGCUAAAUAUUUAUGGGAAACCGAUAGCAAACAAGUACUACGAAGGAAAGAUGAAAAGAACUUUGAAAAGAGGGUUAAAAGACUUGAAAUCGUUGAGGAGAAAAGCGGUAGAAGAGAAAUGAUUUCAUUUAGAAGUAUGUAGUUUUGUAGGUGUCUUCUGCGGUAAUGGUACUUCAUAGGGCCUAGCUGUAGACCGGCGUCGCAUUGCUGCUUUUUCUGGAUGAAGUGCAAAAUGAGGUCUCGCUUGCGGAAACGUCUCUAGGGAGGACUCUGGCCUUGAAGCUGGAAGCCCUGGUCUCCAA
rnacentral:rRNA from 1 species